rnacentral:rRNA from 1 species
AUUGAACGCUGGCGGCAUGCCUUACACAUGCAAGUCGAACGGUAACAGGCUAAGCUGACGAGUGGCGAACGGGUGAGUAAUGUAUCGGAACGUGCCCAGUCGUGGGGGAUAACUACUCGAAAGAGUGGCUAAUACCGCAUACGACCUGAGGGUGAAAGCGGGGGACCGUAAGGCCUCGCGCGAUUGGAGCGGCCGAUAUCAGAUUAGCUAGUUGGUGGGGUAAAAGCCAACCAAGGCGACGAUCUGUAGCUGGUCUGAGAGGACGACCAGCCACACUGGGACUGAGAGACGGCCCAGACUCCUACGGGAGGCAGCAGUGGGGAAUUUUGGACAAUGGACGCAAGCCUGAUCCAGCCAUGCCGCGUGCGGGAAGAAGGCCUUCGGGUUGUAAACCGCUUUUGUCAGGGAAGAAACGAGUUUCUCUAAUACAGAGACUUAAUGACGGUACCUGAAGAAUAAGCACCGGCUAACUACGUGCCAGCCGCCGCGGUAACAC